rnacentral:rRNA from 1 species
GACGAACGCUGGCGGCGUGCUUAACACAUGCAAGUCGAACGGAAAGGCCCUGCUUUUGUGGGGUGCUCGAGUGGCGAACGGGUGAGUAACACGUGAGUAACCUGCCCUUGACUUUGGGAUAACUUCAGGAAACUGGGGCUAAUACCGGAUAGGAGCUCCUGCUGCAUGGUGGGGGUUGGAAAGUUUCGGCGGUUGGGGAUGGACUCGCGGCUUAUCAGCUUGUUGGUGGGGUAGUGGCUUACCAAGGCUGUGACGGGUAGCCGGCCUGAGAGGGUGACCGGCGACAUUGGGACUGAGGGACGGCGCAGAAUGCUACGGGAGGCAGCAGUGGGGAAUAUUGCACAAUGGGCGGAAGCCUGAUGCAGCAACGCCGCGUGCGGGAUGACGGCCUUCGGGUGGUAAACCGCUUUCGCCUGUGACGAAGCGUGAGUGACGGUAAUGGGUAAAGAAGCACCGGCUAACUACGUG